UGGGGAAUAUUGCACAAUGGACGGAAGUUUGAUGCAGCGACGCCGCGUGGAGGGUGUAGGCCUUCGGGUUGUGAACUCCUUUUUCUCGCGAAAAAGGCACAGUUUUGGCGGUGUUGAUGGUAGUGGGGGAAGAAGCCCCGGCUAACUACGUGCCAGCAGCCGCGGUAAUACGUAUGGAGCGAGCGUUGUCCGGAAUUAUUGGGCGUAAAGGGUGCGCAGGCGGCUUUACAAGUUGGAUGUGAAAUAUUGUGGCUCAACCACAAACGUGCAUCCAAAACUGCAAAGCUUGAGUUAAGGAGAGGUAAGUGGAAUUCCGAGUGUAGAGGUGGAAUGCGUAGAUAUCAGGAGGAAUACCGGUGGCGAAGGCGACUUACUGGACUUAAACUGACGCUCAGGCACGAAAGCGUGGGGAGCAAACAGG
rnacentral:rRNA from 1 species